rnacentral:lncRNA from 1 species
GGAGGGCAGGGUGGGGGAGGUUGCAGGAGGCUGCCGGGAUAAAGAGAGCAGGCCUGGGAGCCGGGAGCCCUGGGCUGGAGGGUCAACCUGACUUCUUGCUGGCCCAGUGACUUCUGGAAAAGGGCAAUGCCUGUCUGGGCUCCCCUUUCCCUAACAGUAAAACAGGGACAUAGACCCUACUCCACAAGGCAGUAGUAAGCUCACGAAGCGAAUCAAGGAAGGUGAAGAAGGUGCUACUUAAAGUGCCACUGAGAAAGGGUAGAACAUUCCUACUGGCUUCCCUGGAACUAAGGCUGAAUAAAGGCAGAUCCACUUCUCCUGCCAAGCACCUCAAGAAACUGAGGCCUCGCGUCUGCCCAGGAGGUGCCUGAGGAGCCUGGAUAGGACCUGGAUAGGCGCUGCGUUUGGCCCACCUCUUCCACCACCAAUCUUUUGCAGCCACAUUUUGAAACCUUAAAGGACCAGCUUCCAGGAGAGAAGGGACGGGGAGAAGACAAGUAGGCACACGGGGCUUCCCUCCAAACACCUGGCCUGGGGUUUGGCUAAUGACGUGGGAAUUAUGUGUGGACUUAAAAUAUCUGUGCUUUCCUCGGCUGUAACCGAUCUGCAAAGGGUGGACGGGCUCAGACCCCAGAGGCCGACUUCCGGUUUCAACAACUUCCUCUCGGUUCAACAAGAAUUAAGGUGGCCACCGAGCAGGGUGGAGAGCUCGCCUCCAGGGCUUUCGAGCCAGGUUUUCCGCGGGUCCCCGGAGCUCCUCUCCCCGCCCUGCGCUCUUGGCCUUGCCCUUGCCAAAGAGGGCGGGGCACCAGGUUCCAUCGCGCACCCGGACUUCGCCUUCAGGCGAGAACCCCAGCCCCCGCGCGGAAAAGCGGGUGGCCGGCUCCCCAAGAGCAGAGAUGCAGAGCCUGGAAGCGAAUAUGCAGGGCAAAGGUGUGCGUCUCCCUCCAGCGGGCGCGGGCGGCGGGGUUGGUCAGUUUGUAAAACCUCCAAUCCGCUCCUGCUUUGUGCUUCAUAGACGCGGGGUACCAAACAGCGUGUGAGCGGCUGGAACGCCUCGUUUAUCCCGCACCUCUGGAAUCCGCGCUGUUCCCAGAUAAAUGAAGGUGUGCCCCUGAAUGCGGGUUUCCUUUACGACCCCCUCACUCCCCUGCCUCAUUCAACACAAUAUGCUGGGCAGGAGAGACGCAGCUGCGAAGGCCUC